CUUCCUCAUACAACAAAAAGAAGAAAAAGAUUGAAAUGGCUCUUACAAAACUCAACAAAGUGGCAUUUGUUGCUCUCCUUGUCUGCUUCAUCCUCAUUGCAUCAUAUGAAACACAAAUGGUUGAAGCAAAGUAUUGUAUGAAACAAAAAAGUUGGGGCGGCAGUUGUCCCGCGAUAAAAUGCACCAAUUGGUGCAAAAAAGACAUGAAGGGCUUCAAGUGGUAUUGUCAGAAUCACCAAUGCUACUGUCAAUAUAAGUGCGGUAGUUAAAUGAAAAUAUUUUUACUUGGACUAUUUUCAUACCACCAAAAUUAUACAUUAUAUUAUAAAUCUUACUCUAUUAUGUAAUAAAAAUAAAUAAAUGUUGCUACAUACAAAUGACUCAGAGUCAUUUUGUCACAAAGCAACAAUUGUAUCUUGUGACACUAGUAGUGUGUAUUUUAAAUUUUUAAUGUGUGUUGUAUGAUGAAUACUAUCAUUACUAUAUGUAUAAUGAGUCGUAUUUGAGUUA